AUUGAACGCUGGCGGCAUGCCUUACACAUGCAAGUCGAACGGUAACAGGUCUUCGGAUGCUGACGAGUGGCGAACGGGUGGGUAAUACAUCGGAACGUGCCUAGUAGUGGGGGAUAACUACUCGAAAGAGUGGCUAAUACCGCAUGAGAUCUACGGAUGAAAGCAGGGGAUCGCAAGACCUUGUGCUACUAGAGCGGCCGAUGGCAGAUUAGGUAGUUGGUGGGAUAAAAGCUUACCAAGCCGACGAUCUGUAGCUGGUCUGAGAGGACGAUCAGCCACACUGGGACUGAGACACGGCCCAGACUCCUACGGGAGGCAGCAGUGGGGAAUUUUGGACAAUGGGCGAAAGCCUGAUCCAGCAAUGCCGCGUGCAGGAUGAAGGCCUUCGGGUUGUAAACUGCUUUUGAACGGAACGAAAAGCCCCGGGUUAAUACCCUGGGGUCAUGACGGUACCGUAAGAAUAAGCACCGGCUAACUACGUGCCAGCCGCCGCAGUAA
rnacentral:rRNA from 1 species